rnacentral:lncRNA from 13 species
AAAUCAGCUAAGAAGCAGAAUUUUGGAUCUAGAUCAGCAGAGGCUGAACCAAGGCAGCAUGUUCAGAUGCAGGGAGAAGAUGUGGUAGCUGCUAUUAUCCACCAACUCUAAUUUAUCAACUACUGUUGAAGACUGUAAUGAAGCCAUGGAAACAACGGUGGAAGCUGAGAGACAGGGACGAGCUGCAAGUCUGAGCAUCAGUGUCCCACUGAAUUGUGCUCAAUUCAUGAUGACUCAUCAGGAAACAACUUUUAAGCACCUUCUGCUGUCCAUUGUCCUUCAGAAAAGACACUGCCUUGAAGGGACUUCCACAACAGUUUUUCUUCUAGAACAAGUGAGCAGUGAAAGGAUGAGAGGUGAAGAACAGAGCACAACACUUCUCAUAAAGAGCCACCUCUGCAAACCAACUGUAGCCAGCCAGCAGUUUGUGAACUCCUGUGUCCAAUGGAUGUUUCUGUGUUGA